rnacentral:SRP_RNA from 10 species
GCCAGGUGAGGUGAUGUGAGCCUAUAGUCCCAGCUACUUGGGAGGCUGAAGCAGGAGGAUUGCUUGAGGCCCGUCCUGGACUGUAGUGCGCUAUGCAGAUCGGGUGUCCACACUAAGUUCAGCAUCGAUAUAGUGACCUCCCAGGAGUGGGGGACCAACAGGUUGCCUAAGGUGGAGUGAACCAGCCCAGGGUGGAAAGGGAGGAGGUCAAACCUCCCAUGCUGAUCAGUAGUGGGAUCACGCCUGUGAAUAGCCACUGCACUCCAGCCUGGGCAACAUAGAAAGACCCCGUCU